CUUGGGCUCCAAAUCAAAAACUCCAUUUCCUCUUAUAAUUAGUGUCAUUAAGUCUAUUUCGCUUUCCACAUCUGAAUGUAUGACACAUCAUUAUGUGUAGCAAUUUCCAUUAAACUCCACUCAGCAUUCUCCUCUUCACCUCUCCCCACUUUAUACCAUAAGCAUACUUUAUGCUCCCCCCUAACAUAGAAAUGAAAGAUAAAUUUGUGUAAUUGAGUGAGACUUAAUUUUUGAACAAUUUAAGUUUGUAAUAGGGUUUAUUGUUGUAGGCACACAUCAUUAUCGCCAUAGGCAGCAGCUGCCGUGGUUUAUUAACAGCCUGUUCCACGAUCUCGAAAGAAAAUUUGUGCGAACGAAGGCUACUCACUCACUUUCGUAUAAGAAUGCGUUCCACUAACUUUCGUUCUUUCUUUCGCAUAGCCUUACGUGAUUCAGUGUUGCUAAAUAUUUUUUGGCAAAAUUAAUCGCAAAAUAAAGCAAAAAAAAGCGCCAAAUGUCUAAUUUAAACGCGAAAAAGCAGCAGUGGCUGUGUCUCAACUGACAGUUCAAACAAAUUGUAAAUAAACAAACAAAACAAAAUUUUUAGUGAUUGUGUUCAAAUUAUUUGUGUUCUUAAAAAAGAAAAAAAUGAAUAUUUCUGUAGCCCUAUUUUUUAUGGAUGAUGAGGAGGAGGUUCAAAAUGUGCCACGGAGGCAUUUAAGAGAUUCUUCGAAUUUAUUUGAAGUACCUAACAACCAGUUUGUGGCCAAUUUUCGUGUGUCGAAGGAAGUUUUUCGGGCUCUUUUGGAUAUGAUGGAUAUGAUGCAGCUUCCAAAAAUUGGCACUCCUCUGGCGAACUCAGGAUUCUCCUACAUAUACUCAACUAGUGCCCGCAGCUGUGUAGUUGAUUUUUUCGUGCUGGCAUUUAGGAAAUAAAAAAAAUAUAUUUGUUGUUCACAUUUUAAA